CAGCCGCCACGGGAAUACGUAGGUGGCAAGCGUUGUCCGGAAUUAUUGGGCGUAAAGGGCUCGCAGGCGGUUUCUUAAGCCUGAUGUGAAAGCCCCCGGCUCAACCGGGGAGAGUCAUUGGAAACUGGGAAACUUGAGUGCAGAAGAGGAGAGUGGAAUUCCACGUGUAGCGGUGAAAUGCGUAGAGAUGUGGAGGAACACCAGUGGCGAAGGCGACUCUCUGGUCUGUAACUGACGCUGAGGCGCGAAAGUCAGGGGAGCGAACGGGAUUAGAUACCCGCGUAGUCCCUGUCUCUUAUAA
rnacentral:rRNA from 1 species